GACAACAUAAGACAAUAUCACUUGGAAAAACAAUAAGCCAAGUUGAUCUGGAGGACGUCUGUGUAGGGAAAAAAAACCCCACCCCGAUAUGACCGGGUUGACAACUGGCAGAAAUCCAGGUUUGGAGAACUCAUCAACUUCUAGGCGAGACAAGACAUUCCAGUCAGAUUAUCGGGACAUUGAACCAAUGGCAACGAGACAUGUUACACUUCGUGACAUGGUAGUGACUCCUGCCAGCGUACCCCGAUUUACUAUUCCGCCUCUGUGCCUUUGGACGCGCCCUCGACAUUACAACCUGCACAGCCGGCGGCACACCAUGCCAUGUUCAUUGCUUUCAUCUCUCCCGGACCAAGAAUUCAGCCGCCGCUACCCACUCUCAGAACUUCAUCUUAUGGACGAGCUACACAUUUGGGCUUUAUGUGACCCGACUACAAGAGCCGCAAUGUCUCUGCUACAUCUAACAAAGGUGACCACUCCUUACGGCUUUGUCACCCUGGGAGAAAGCCCUUCCGUCCGCAGAAGGGAGUCAUUAUUUUUCGAGGGCCAUAUCCCACAGUUUUGUCACAGCGGGAACGACCAGCAGGUUUGCUUGCCGAAAUCCAAUAGUCAGUCGUACUCAGUUACACACACCGAAAGCACCGAGCACGCUGCAAGACCCGCUCUUCGCUCUCCGUCCGCUGACGCGGUAGCGCUCCGCUCCACAGCUUGUGAAACAGAAAAUCACGUUCCCACUUCUUGUAACUGUUCAGGAUCAUACAAAUCUCCACACGCUUCCAUUGGUUCAAAGAAAGAAAGACUUAAAUAUUUACUCAAAAAGCGCUUUGCAGCCGUAAGAGCCUUUUCUCUCUCAGUGACGCCCCCCAAAGAGCUCGUGUCCUUUUGUGCAUAGAACAUUACAAGGAGAUGCUCCAUCAAGAAAAAGAAGUAAACUUACCCCCCAAAGUGAGCGGUGGGCACCUUUUAUUUUGAGGGUUUAAAUGUAAUGGAAAAAAAACCCCGCGAUGCUCCUUUGUGGUACAAUAAUU
ensembl:lncRNA